GGAUCACGCCGCGUGAGUGAAGAAGGUUUUCGGAUCGUAAAACUCUCUUGUAAGGGAAGAACAAGUACAGUAGUAACUGGCUGUACCUUGACGGUACCUUAUUAGAAAGCCACGGCUAACUACGUGCCAGCAGCCGCGGUAAUACGUAGGUGGCAAGCGUUGUCCGGAAUUAUUGGGCGUAAAGCGCGCGCAGGCGGUCCUUUAAGUCUGAUGUGAAAGCCCACGGCUCAACCGUGGAGGAUCAUUGGAAACUGGGGGACUUGAGUGCAGAAGAGGAAAGUGGAAUUCCAAGUGUACCGGUGAAAUGCGUAGAGAUUUGGAGGAACACCAGUGGCGAAGGCGACUUUCCUGGUCUGAAACUGACGCUGAGGCGCGAAAGCGUGGGGAGCAAACAGGAUUAGAUACCCUGGUAGUCCACGCCGUAAACGAUGAGUGCUAAGUGUUAGGGGGUUUCCGCCCCUUAGUGCUGCAGCUAACGCAUA
rnacentral:rRNA from 1 species